AAGUGAGAAUGCCGGUGUGAGUAGCGAAAGACGGGUGAGAAUCCCGUCCACCGAUUGACUAAGGUUUCCAGAGGAAGGCUCGUCCGCUCUGGGUUAGUCGGGUCCUAAGCUGAGGCCGACAGGCGUAGGCGAUGGAUAACAGGUUGAUAUUCCUGUACCACCUAUAAUCGUUUUAAUCGAUGGGGGGACGCAGUAGGAUAGGCGAAGCGUGCGAUUGGAUUGCACGUCUAAGCAGUAAGGCUGAGUAUUAGGCAAAUCCGGUACUCGUUAAGGCUGAGCUGUGAUGGGGAGAAGACAUUGUGUCUUCGAGUCGUUGAUUUCACACUGCCGAGAAAAGCCUCUAGAUAGAAAAUAGGUGCCCGUACCGCAAACCGACACAGGUAGUCAAGAUGAGAAUUCUAAGGUGAGCGAGCGAACUCUCGUUAAGGAACUCGGCAAAAUGACCCCGUAACUUCGGGAGAAG
rnacentral:rRNA from 1 species